GAUCAUGGCUCAGGAUGAACGCUAGCUACAGGCUUAACACAUGCAAGUCGAGGGGCAGCAUGGACCCAGCUUUGCUGGGUUUUGAUGGCGACCGGCGCACGGGUGAGUAACGCGUAUCCAACCUGCCCUUUACUCCGGGAGUAGUCUCCUGAAAGGGAGUUUAAUACCGGAUGUGUUUGUCUUUCCGCAUGGGAGCGACAAAUAAAGAUUAAUUGGUAAAGGAUGGGGAUGCGUCCCAUUAGCUUGUUGG
rnacentral:rRNA from 1 species